rnacentral:rRNA from 1 species
UACGGAGGGUGCGAGCGUUGUCCGGAAUCAUUGGGCGUAAAGGGCGCGUAGGCGGCCACUUCAAGCGUGCGGUGAAAGUCAGGGGCUCAACCCCUGAUCGGCCGUGCGAACUGGGGGGCUGGAGCACUGUAGAGGCAGGCGGAAUUCCGGGUGUAGCGGUGGAAUGCGUAGAGAUCCGGAAGAACACCGGUGGCGAAGGCGGCCUGCUGGGCAGUGGCUGACGCUGAGGCGCGACAGCGUGGGGAGCAAACAGG